rnacentral:tRNA from 1 species
AGUAAUAUGGCUGAAUAUUUUAGGUGAUAAAUUGUAAAUUUAUUUAUAAAUUUAAAAAAUUUUAUUACUA